rnacentral:misc_RNA from 1 species
GUUUAACUUAAUUCUCCGGAGAGCUCAGAAUUAUCUACUACUGCACAUGAUGAUAACCAGCAGCAAAUAAAAUAAGCUGUAAAAUUUCCAACAAAGCAACUGGAGGAGGUGGAUUUACAAUAUCCACUGGGAUUAACUCAUUUUUACCAUUAUUAUUGCUCUGACAUUUUGAAAGUCAAACAUUAAAAAAUUUAAUUUACUCAACCUUUUAAAUAUCAGAGAAAGUUGUACACAGAAGGUAGAGACAAACAAAACUUCACAUGCAGUGCUCUCAUCACUUUGAGCAUCAGGUACAUGAUAAUUGUCAAAAUGCUCACAACGUGUAUUAUAUUAAACCCAUUUGCUUUAAAAAUCCAAAUGAAGAUGCACUUCAUUUCUAGGAAAACGCUGCAAUGCAGCCAACAUCAAUAUCAAGUGCAGUUGCUCAAAAGAUAGAAA